UACGUAGGGGGCUAGCGUUGUCCGGAUUUAUUGGGCGUAAAGAGCUCGUAGGCGGUUUGGCCAGUCGGGUGUGAAAUCUCCACGCUUAACGUGGAGCGGUCAUUCGAUACUGCCAUGACUAGAGUCCGGUAGGGGAGUGUGGAAUUCCCGGUGUAGCGGUGAAAUGCGCAGAGAUCGGGAGGAACACCCGUAGCGAAGGCGGCACUCUGGGCCGGUACUGACGCUGAGGAGCGAAAGCGUGGGGAGCAAACAGG
rnacentral:rRNA from 1 species